rnacentral:rRNA from 1 species
UUGACCUCAAAUCAGGUAGGACUACCCGCUGAACUUAAGCAUAUCAAUAAGCGGAGGAAAAGAAACUAACAAGGAUUCCCCUAGUAACUGCGAGUGAAGCGGGAAAAGCUCAAAUUUAAAAUCUGGCGGUCUUGCGGCCGUCCGAGUUGUAAUCUGGAGAAGCGUUUAUCCGCGCCGGACCGUGUACAAGUCUUCUGGAAGGGAGCGUCGUAGAGGGUGAGAAUCCCGUCUUUGACACGGACAACCGGUGCUUUUGUGAUGCGCUCUCGAGAGUCGAGUUGUUUGGGAUGCAGCUCAAAUGGUGGUAAAUUCCAUCUAAAG